rnacentral:lncRNA from 1 species
AUAAAAUUUGCGAGUUUGAAACUUUCAAGCCAUGCCGUACAUGGUGGAAGUCCUAUCAGAGACGGUAUGAUGUCUCAGAAUUGACUUGGAAGAACUUCAAAAAGCUUUUGAGAAAACAAUUUUAUCCCGUUGGCUAUGAAGAUGAAAGAUGGUAUAAGGCAACACUUCAGACAAAGAUUUGGGCAGCCUGUACAAGAGUAUACAACAGAGUUCCACAACCAAGCUAUGGUUUUGGACAUUGACGUCGACGACUAUGACGUUUUCAUGAAGUAUACCAGAGGUCUUGUCGACUAUAUACGGAAAGAACUAAAAUUAUUCACCAUAGAUACUAUUGAAAAAGCUACUGUAAAGGCCAUCACCAUUGAGGCAAAAAAUAAAAGAACUGACAAGAAGGAUGACAGAUCAAAACUUGUCAACAAAACUAACUGGCAGAAAAAGGGGAAGCAGAGCAAGGAAGUUCAGACAUAGAAGGUCUACUGUGAUCACUGUCAAAUCAGGAGACACGCCAAAGACAAGUGCUGGAUACUCCAUCCUGAGUUGCGGCCAAAGCACGAGAAAAACAACCAAGGGAGAAAUGACAGAAAAGCCACCUUAACUACAUAACAGGCAGAAGAGCUUCCAGAGUUGAAGCAACCUGAUGUUACACUUACCCUUAUGACAAGACCAGCAAAUACAGAAGACACGUACAACCGUGAAGGGUUGUUUCAUGUGAAUAUUCAGGUGAAGCAAAGUGUUGUACAAGCUAUUAUUGACCCCUGGAAGUCAGAAAAACUUGAUUUCAGAGCCUUUAGUAAGAAAAGUGGGUUUAAACACCACACCACAUCCUAAGCCGUACCCGCUAGGAUGGAUUCAGAAUGACGUUGACUUACAGAUCACGAACCAAUGUACCUUCAAAUUUGCUAUCACCAAUCGAUAUAUCGAUGAGGUGACAUGUGAGGUGGUUCCUUUGGAUGUGUGCCAAGUCAUAUUAGGCAGUCCAUAUUUAUGGGACCGAGAUGCCAUUCACUAUCGGAGGCUUCGUAAGUAUCGACUUGUGAAAGAUGGGAAGAAGUUCCACAUCAACGCUUGCAAGCCUCAAGCUACAAAUCAUUGCUUACAGAUAAUUUGCUGAUAGCUAACCAAGCCAAGAGGUUAGUCAAUUCAUGUAGGCGAUUAGUUUUGUUGAUGAUUCGACCGCAAGAUCAAAGUUCUGGAGCUGUGACAUUGUCUACAUUGUCGAAGCAAAUUCAAGGACUUCUUGAACAAGGAGUCAUCAAACCUAGCUGCUCACCAUGUGGUUCGCCAGUGUUACUUGUGCCUAAGAAAGACGGAGGCUGACGUAUGUGUGUUGAUUAUAGGCACUCAACAAAAUAACCAUCAAGAAUCGGUAUCCAUUGCCAAGGAUUGAUGACCUGCUAGAUCAACUACAUGGUGCACGCUACUUCACUAAGCUUGAUCUGAAAUCUGGUUAUCACCAAGUCAGCAUCCAUGAAGAAGAUACUUGGAAGACUGCAUUCAAAACAAAGCAGGGGUUGUUCGACUGGUUAGUCAUGCCAUUCGGAUUAUGCAAUGCUCCAGCUACUUUCAUGCGAUUGAUGAAUGAGGUACUCCGUCUUUCAUUGGCGACUUUGUCAUUGUAUACUUGGAUGACAUAUUGAUAUUCAGUGUCACAUGGGAAGACCAUCUUCAUCAUAUUGCUCAAGUUUUAGAGGUUCUACGAACAAAUCAGUUACAGUUAAAUGGUAAGAAGUGUGAAUUUGGGAAACAACACCUUGUAUACCUAGGAUUCAUUGUUGGUGCAUUAGAACUGAAAGUAGACCUAGAGAAAGUGCAGGUGAUUUCUCAAUGGCCUACGCCCCAUACAGUGACUGAAGUUCAGAGCUUUAUAGGUGCAUGUCAAUAUUUGCGAAAGUUUAUUUGACACUUUUCACAAAUUGCAGCACCCUUACAUUCACUUAGAAAGGCCAAUCAAAAGUUUGAAUGGUCGAGAAACCAUGAAGAAUAUUUCCAAUUGUUGAAACGAAAGAUUACAGAGGCCCCAGUACUAGCAUUACCGAAUCUGCAGAAACCAUUUGAAGUAGAAGCAGAUGCAUCAAACUAUGCCAUGGGAGCCAUAUUAUUUCAGGAUGGGAAACUAGUUACAUACCAUUUUGAGAUGUUUAGUGGACCGGUAUUGAAUUAUCCGACUUAUGACAAGGAGUUGUAUGCAAUGCAUCAAGCAGUGAAACAUUGGAGAGCUUACUUGUUGGGAAAAGAGGUUGUAGUUCACUCAAAUCAUAAACCUCUUUAGUUUUUAACUAUACAGUCUAAGUUGCAGCAAGCUCGCCAUAUGAAAUGGAUGUCUUACCUACAAUAAUUCAAUAUUGUGAUAAAGUACAAGAAAGGAGCAACUAACAAGUUGGCAGAUAUGUUAUCUAGACCACCUACACCAGUUAGUUCCGCAUUGCUGGUGGCUAUGCAAAUCCAACCCAUUGUUCCUUUUGAAUAUGCCAAAGGGUAUGACACAGAUAUUGAUUUCAACUCAGCCUAUGCCAAGCUACAACAAGGAAAGACUAGUGAGUUCCAAUUGAAAGAUGGACUAAUGUACAAGGGAACAGAAUUGUGCAUUCUAGAAGAUGGCGACAGAUUGCAGUGGAU